GUGAGUCAUCGAAUCUUUGAACGCACAUUGCGCCCGCCAGUAUUCUGGCGGGCAUGCCUGUUCGAGCGUCAUUUCAACCCUCAAGCUCUGCUUGGUGUUGGGGAUCGGCGUAGCGCCCUCGGGUGCUGCCGUCCCCUAAAUCUAGUGGCGGUCCUGCCGUAGAUACCUCUGCGUAGUAGUUUUCUCCUCGCUCUGGAAUCUCGGUGGUGCCCUGCCGUUAAACCCCCAACUUCUGAAAGGUUGACCUCGAAUCAGGUAGGAAUACCCGCUGAACUUAAGCAUAUCAAUAAGCGGAGGA
rnacentral:misc_RNA from 1 species